rnacentral:rRNA from 1 species
GUAGGUGGCAAGCGUUGUCCGGAAUUAUUGGGCGUAAAGCGCGCGCAGGCGGUCCUUUAAGUCUGAUGUGAAAGCCCACGGCUCAACCGUGGAGGGUCAUUGGAAACUGGGGGACUUGAGUACAGAAGAGGAAAGCGGAAUUCCAAGUGUAGCGGUGAAAUGCGUAGAGAUUUGGAGGAACACCAGUGGCGAAGGCGGCUUUCUGGUCUGUAACUGACGCUGAGGCGCGAAAGCGUGGGGAGCAAACAGGAUUAGAUACCCUGGUAGUCCACGCCGUAAACGAUGAGUGCUAAGUGUUAGGGGGUCUCCGCCCCUUAGUGCUGCAGCUAACGCAUUAAGCACUCCGCCUGGGGAGUACGGCCGCAAGGCUG